GUACACGCUGUGACUAGCAUAUCAAUAAGCGGAGGAAAAGAAACUAACAAGGAUUCCCUUAGUAACGGCGAGUGAAGCGGGAAGAGCUCAAAUUUGAAAUCUUCAAGGGUUUACCUUUACGAAUUGUAGUUUAAAGAAGUGUUUUCUGCUGAGGUUUUGGUAAAAGUUCUUUGGAAUAGGACAUCAUAGAGGGUGAGAAUCCCGUAUUUGACCAUUAUUUUCAACUUUGUGAUACACUUUCAAAGAGUCGGAUUGUUUGGGAAUGCAGUCCAAAAUGGGUGGUAAAUUUCAUCUAAAGCUAAAUAUUGGCGAGAGACCGAUAGCGAACAAGUACCGUGAGGGAAAGAUGAAAAGAACUUUGAAAAGAGAGUUAAACAGUACGUGAAAUUGUCAAAAGGGAAGCGUUUGACACCAGUGUUGUUUUUCUGAAAAUCAAUUAAAGAACUGUUUAUGCUAAGCUGUUUAGACUUUAUCAGCUAAUCUGUUUAGUUUUGAGCUUUUCUUUAAUGCACUUUUCAGUUAACAAGUCAACAUCAAUUUCUUUUGUUGUAAAAAAGCUUGAGGAAGGUGGCUUGAGAUUCGUCUUAAGUGUUUAUAGCCUCUUGCCUAUGCAGUCGGAGAGAUUGAGGUCUGCAGCGUAGAUCCUUCGGGGCUAAAUGCAUUUGUGCUAAGUUAUAGCAUUUAUAGACAACUUGUUGACUAUGAUUUGUCUUGUAGCUUACUCGCUUAUGUUAUUUUACCUACGCUUAGGAUGUUGAGCGCAUGUCUCUCUCU
rnacentral:rRNA from 1 species